rnacentral:snRNA from 1 species
AGCUUUGCGCAGUGGCAGUAUCGUAGCCAAUGAGGUUUAUCCGAGGCGCGAUCAUUGCUAAUUGAACCGUUUUAACCAUGACGUGGCGUUCUUCUUACCUGUGUAUCUGAAGAUAAAGCUGGUGCAGUGUACAGCAAGAAUCAGAAAGUAAAGGAAGGAAUUCCUAAAAUAAAACAACUCUA